rnacentral:rRNA from 1 species
CAGCAGCCGCGGUAAUACGUAGGUGGCAAGCGUUGUCCGGAACUAUUGGGCGUAAAGGGCUCGCAGGCGGUUUCUUAAGUCUGAUGUGAAAGCCCCCGGCUCAACCGGGGAGGGUCAUUGGAAACUGGGAAACUUGAGUGCAGAAGAGGAGAGUGGAAUUCCACGUGUAGCGGUGAAAUGCGUAGAGAUGUGGAGGAACACCAGUGGCGAAGGCGACUCUCUGGUCUGUAACUGACGCUGAGGAGCGAAAGCGUGGGGAGCGAACAGGAUUAGAUACCCCCGUAGUCCCUGUCUCUUAUAC